AGAGUUUGAUCCUGGCUCAGGACGAACGCUGGCGGCGUGCUUAACACAUGCAAGUCGAACGCUGAAGCCUAGCUUGCUGGGUGGAUGAGUGGCGAACGGGUGAGUAACACGUGAGUAACCUGCCCCCUUCUUUGGGAUAACGCCCGGAAACGGGUGCUAAUACUGGAUAUUCACUGGUCUUCGCAUGGGGGUUGGUGGAAAGGUUUUUUCUGGUGGGGGAUGGGCUCGCGGCCUAUCAGCUUGUUGGUGGGGUGAUGGCCUACCAAGGCUUUGACGGGUAGCCGGCCUGAGAGGGUGACCGGUCACAUUGGGACUGAGAUACGGCCCAGACUCCUACGGGAGGCAGCAGUGGGGAAUAUUGCACAAUGGGCGCAAGCCUGAUGCAGCGACGCCGCGUGAGGGAUGGAGGCCUUCGGGUUGUGAACCUCUUUCGCCCGUGGUCAAGCCGCAACGUGGGUCGUGGUGAGGGUAGUGGGUAAAGAAGCGCCGGCUAACUACGUGCCAGCAGCCGCGGUAAUACGUAGGGCGCGAGCGUUGUCCGGAAUUAUUGGGCGUAAAGGGCUUGUAGGCGGUUGGUCGCGUCUGCCGUGAAAUCCUCUGGCUUAACUGGGGGCGUGCGGUGGGUACGGGCUGACUUGAGUGCGGUAGGGGAGACUGGAACUCCUGGUGUAGCGGUGGAAUGCGCAGAUAUCAGGAAGAACACCGGUGGCGAAGGCGGGUCUCUGGGCCGUUACUGACGCUGAGGAGCGAAAGCGUGGGGAGCGAACAGGAUUAGAUACCCUGGUAGUCCACGCUGUAAACGUUGGGCACUAGGUGUGGGGGCCACCCGUGGUUUCUGCGCCGUAGCUAACGCUUUAAGUGCCCCGCCUGGGGAGUACGGCCGCAAGGCUAAAACUCAAAGGAAUUGAC
rnacentral:rRNA from 1 species